rnacentral:rRNA from 1 species
GACAGAGGGUGCAAACGUUGUUCGGAAUUACUGGGCGUAAAGCGUGCGCAGGCGGUUGUGUAAGACAGAUGUGAAAUCCCCGGGCUUAACCUGGGAAUGGCAUUUGGGACUGCAAGGCUUGAGUGCGGCAGAGGAGACUGGAAUUCCUGGUGUAGCAGUGAAAUGCGUAGAUAUCAGGAGGAACACCGAUGGCGAAGGCAGGUCUCUGGGCUGACACUGACGCUCAUGCACGAAAGCGUGGGGAGCAAACAGG